rnacentral:siRNA from 1 species
GUUGUUAGGUUGCUCUUGCGCA